AUCUGAAAGAGAUUAAAGAUUUAUCGGUGAUGGAUGGGGAUGCGUCUGAUUAGCUUGUUGGCGGGGUAACGGCCCACCAAGGCGACGAUCAGUAGGGGUUCUGAGAGGAAGGUCCCCCACAUUGGAACUGAGACACGGUCCAAACUCCUACGGGAGGCAGCAGUGAGGAAUAUUGGUCAAUGGACGAGAGUCUGAACCAGCCAAGUAGCGUGCAGGAAGACGGCCCUAUGGGUUGUAAACUGCUUUUAUAAGGGAAUAAAGUGAGUCUCGUGAGACUUUUUGCAUGUACCUUAUGAAUAAGGACCGGCUAAUUCCGUGCCAGCAGCCGCGGUAAUACGGAAGGUCCGGGCGUUAUCCGGAUUUAUUGGGUUUAAAGGGAGCGUAGGCCGGAGAUUAAGCGUGUUGUGAAAUGUAGACGCUCAACGUCUGCACUGCAGCGCGAACUGGUUUCCUUGAGUACGCACAAAGUGGGCGGAAUUCGUGGUGUAGCGGUGAAAUGCUUAGAUAUCACGAAGAACUCCGAUUGCGAAGGCAGCUCACUGGAGCGCAACUGACGCUGAAGCUCGAAAGUGCGGGUAUCGAACAGGAUUAGAUACCCUGGUAGUCCGCACGGUAAACGAUGGAUGCCCGCUGUUGGCCUGAAUAGGUCAGCGGCCAAGC
rnacentral:rRNA from 1 species